rnacentral:rRNA from 1 species
AUGAACCCAUCUUCGGCCCCUGGACCGGAUGGACUCCUAGUCAAAUUCUUCCAGACCUUUUGGGAGGUGAUCAAACCGGAGGUGAUGGCCCUGUUUGACGAGUUCUUUGUUGGGUCCAUUGACCUCAACCGGCUGAACUAUGGGGUAAUCACGCUCAUCCCCAAGGUGGCUGGGGCGUCCGACAUUCAUCAAUUUCGGCCGAUUACGGUGAUUAAUGUCAUCUUCCGCAUCCUUGCCAAGGGGUACGCCAUUAGGGCGGCUCCUAUCACCGACCGGAUCACCCACCCGGACCAGUCAGCCUUUAUUCAGGGCCGUUAUAUCCUUGAUGGAGUCUUGGUGUUCCAUGAAGCGCUCCAUGAGGUGCACUCCAAACACCUCAAGGCAGUCUUCCUGAAAUUGGAUUUCCACAAGGCCUACGACACGGUCAGUUGGACCUUCCUUCGGGAAUGUCUCCUCCGUAAGGGCUUCGACGACCGGUGGGUGACUAGAGUG